rnacentral:rRNA from 1 species
GACGAACGCUGGCGGCGUGCUUAACACAUGCAAGUCGAACGAGAUCCAAUGUGUAGCAAUACACAGGAAGAUCUAGUGGCGAACGGGUGAGGAACACGUGAGAAACGUACCCCCGACUUUGGGAUAACAGUCCGAAAGGACUGCUAAUACCAAAUAACGUCGGAAGUCCGCAUGGACAUCUGACGAAAGGGAUUCCGGUUUGGGAGCGUCUCGCGGACCUAUCAGCUAGUUGGAGGGGUAACGGCCCACCAAGGCAACGACGGGUAGCUGGUCUGAGAGGAUGGUCAGCCACACUGGGACUGAGACACGGCCCAGACUCCUACGGGAGGCAGCAGUGGGGAAUCUUGCGCAAUGGGCGAAAGCCUGACGCAGCAACGCCGCGUGCGGGAAGAAGGCUUUCGGGCUGUAAACCGCUUUCAGUAGGAACGAAACUGACGGUACCUACAGAAGAAGGAGCGGCCAACUAUGUG